GAUGAACGCUGGCGGCGUGCCUAAUACAUGCAAGUCGAGCGAACGGACGAGAAGCUUGCUUCUCUGAUGUUAGCGGCGGACGGGUGAGUAACACGUGGAUAACCUACCUAUAAGACUGGGAUAACUUCGGGAAACCGGAGCUAAUACCGGAUAAUAUUUUGAACCGCAUGGUUCAAAAGUGAAAGACGGUCUUGCUGUCACUUAUAGAUGGAUCCGCGCUGCAUUAGCUAGUUGGUAAGGUAACGGCUUACCAAGGCAACGAUGCAUAGCCGACCUGAGAGGGUGAUCGGCCACACUGGAACUGAGACACGGUCCAGACUCCUACGGGAGGCAGCAGUAGGGAAUCUUCCGCAAUGGGCGAAAGCCUGACGGAGCAACGCCGCGUGAGUGAUGAAGGUCUUCGGAUCAUAAAACUCUGUUAUUAGGGAAGAACAUAUGUGUAAGUACCUGUGCACAUCUUGACGGUACCUAAUCAGAAAGCCACGGCUAACUACGUG
rnacentral:rRNA from 1 species